rnacentral:rRNA from 1 species
UACAGAGGGUGCAAGCGUUGUUCGGAAUUAUUGGGCGUAAAGCGCGUGUAGGCGGCUAUGCAAGUCGGGUGUGAAAGCCCUCAGCUCAACUGAGGAAGUGCGCCCGAAACUGCACGGCUUGAGUACCGGAGAGGAUGGCGGAAUUCCCCAAGUAGAGGUGAAAUUCGUAGAUAUGGGGAGGAACACCGGUGGCGAAGGCGGCCAUCUGGCCGGAUACUGACGCUGAGACGCGAAAGCGUGGGUAGCAAACAGG